UUUGUGGUAUGAAACCCCCAAAAUCCCCUCUUUUUUUGGAAAUGCAGAGAGAAGAGAGAAAAACCAGGACAGUGCCAAGAGUUAGUGAGGAUGAGGAGCAACUGCAAUCGCACAUAUAUUGCUGGUGGAAAUGCAAAAGGAUGUAGUAGUCACUUUGAAAAAGAGUUUGCCUAAGACUUACCACGUGACCCUUCAGUCCCACUUCUAGACAUUUCUCCAUGAGAAAUGGAGAAUUUUGGUGGGUCAAGAGCCCCAAACUCACAAAAAAAUAACUGGAUCUAAAACAUGAGAGCAUAUUGAGCACCUACUCUUCAUGAGCACCUACUCUUUACUCAAGAUUCAAAUAUAAAGAAAGACAACCCUUCCUCUCCUGGCGAUCUUUGGAGGCUGUAUUAAACAAUAGCCUGCCGCCUGGAGUGGACCAGCUGCCAUCUUGAAUCAUGAAGCUGGGACCUUGGACAGCAGAGCAAGAAGACAGAAGAGACCUGGAUCUCUGGUUAUGGAGAACCAGACAGUCCUGGAUCUUAUACGUGGAUACAUAUAUACAUUAACUUUUGUACUUUUAAAGACACUGUGAUUUAGGUUUUUUUCCUGGUAUUUAUAAACUGAAUCUAAGCAUGCAGAGGAG
rnacentral:lncRNA from 1 species